UACGUAGGGGGCAAGCGUUGUCCGGAAUCAUUGGGCGUAAAGAGCGUGUAGGCGGCCCGGUAAGUCCGCUGUGAAAGUCCAGGGCUCAACCCUGGGAUGCCGGUGGAUACUGUCGGGCUCGAGUCCGGAAGAGGAGUGUGGAAUUCCUGGUGUAGCGGUGGAAUGCGCAGAUAUCAGGAGGAACACCGAUGGCGAAGGCAGCUCGCUGGGACGGUACUGACGCUGAGGCGCGAAAGCGUGGGGAGCGAACAGG
rnacentral:rRNA from 1 species